GAAGAUCGCAAUGGUUCUUGCAGUGGUAGGAAAGCGCACGGGCAGGAUGGUGUAACCAUCCGGCGACAGCCACUCGUGCGCGACAAACAGGCUCCCGACGGGGCCUUUUUUAUGCCCGAA
rnacentral:sRNA from 1 species